CUCUUUCUUUAGUCGUAAUUUCUAAUUUGGGCUACCCAUUAAGGUCCUGUGUGCUGUCUCAGGAGCCCAGUCAAGUCAAGAGUUGUAUGAACAUGAGGAUUGAUAUACUAUGAGGCAGCGUGCUUUCCUUCCAGAAUCCUGGCCACUGGCCAGGUUGGUCUGAGCCUCCAUCUUAUCCUCUGUAGGAGGGACAUUUCCCCUGCCUACCUCAUGGGGCUGCCUUGGGGUUUAAGAGUAUCAAGUCCUUGAGAUCAAGUGCCAUGUUGCUUUUAUUUUUGAGCUCCAAGAACACUGACUAUGAAAGAUACCAGGCAGUUAAGUAAAAAGAAUGAUUUAGAAACUCCUCCAUCUAGUCCAGGACUAUACAAUAAAAUACUGUACAAGCAGGAAAAGGAGAGAACCUAGGCUAGGUGAAAACCACAAUGUCAUAGGAGGAAGGGGACCAGACCAGUAUACAGAGCAGCAAGGAGCAACCCAGGGGCCUCCUUCCCAUCCAGUGAAGAAAGCAGCACCAAACAAGACCCAUGAUCAGUGCAUCAAAGAAUGACCCAACCAGCAUAACAGGGAAGACCAGAAAAUUCCUGUGGAAGGAAAAACCUAUUCUUGUUCACUAAACUCGGGAUCCAGCAGAGCAUAUCCACACUAUCCAGGAUGACAAGAGCAGAGUUUAUCCCAAGCAUAAGCCUUUAAUCCAGAAAUCAAGGCUGGAGAUAUGAGUAAACAAAAGGGAAAAACUCCUGCCAAAUAUAAUGAAGAAAUGUCUUAGACUGAGAGUUCAAGUCCAAAUUGAACCUCAGAAAAAAUAAUCUCCUGUACACAAGUAAUAAAAGAAUACACAGAAGAAAUGGAAUAAGCGACACAAAAUGGAAUAGCUGUUGAUUUUUUUAAAUAACAAGGAGAAUAAAUACUUUAGAAGAAACAAAAGUAAACUUUAUCCAGAAACUGAACUUUCUGAAAAGUCUAAUGAGACAAACAGAAAAUAAUGACUCAAUGUGAAAGAAAGAAAUAUUCAAACAAAAUCAAGAACAGGUGGGGAGGGGGGAUGGAAGAAAGGAAAAGAAACAGAAAAAAAUUAAGGUAUACAAUAUAAAAAAAAAUAAGCUGGAAAACAUGUCGAGAAAAGAUCAUCUAAGAAUCAUCAGACCUCAGCAAAUUAUGACCAAAAGAAAACCAAAAACCUUUGGAUAUUAUAUUUCAAGAAAUCAUAACUGACCAUUCAUUUUCUAAAAGAAAUUCCAAAGUCAAAACUCCCAGGAAUUCCAUAAAUAAAAUCUAGACCUUCUAGGCCAAAGAAAAAAUAUUGCAAAUUGUCAAAAAAGGAAAAGUUCAAGGAUGAAGGAGCCACAGUCAGGAUCACAAAAGGCUUGGCAGCUACCACUCAAAGGAGAAGAAAGAUUAUAAUAUAAUAUUCCAAAAGGCAAAAAAAAAAAGGCUUGCAACCAAAAAUAACUGAUCUUGCCAAAUUGAUAAUAAUCCUAUAACAGAAAAAAAAAUGUGACUUUUAAUCAAAAAGAGGAAUUCUAGGCGUUAUGGAUUUUUUUUAAAGUCCAGAACUGAGUAAGACACUGAAAAGGAAACAUAGAAGGCUCCUCAAGCAAUCUUCGGAUGAGUAAUUGGGUCCCCCAGGUAGCUUGAUAACGGGAAAAGGACACGUGCUCUGAACCUUAGGCAUGAAUAUUCUGGUUACUGGAAAGGCUCCCCUCCUCUCCUGUAAAUUAAUAAAUUGGUGUCUGGUUUGUAAA